GCAGAAGACGCGGCCGCCGCGACUCAGGCACACGCGGGCGCCGGGAGGCUGCGCCGCCGCGCCGCAGAAGGUGAAGGAGCAGCGCGAGGCACGCAGCCGCCGCACCGUGGCGCGCACGAGCUCAGCCGGCCGGCGACCCCAGCGCGCCCACAGUACCUGGCAUUCCUGACCAUGCUAUUUCUACCAAUCAACAAAAACUACUAGAUAUUCAGAGAGUAUUUAAUACAGAGAGUUGGCUACAACAUGACAAAACACCAGACAAGGGAGGGCACUGUGGCUCACGCCUGUAAUCCCAGCACUUAGGGAGGCUGAGGCAGGUGGAUCACCUGAAGUCAGGAGUUCAAGACCAGCUGGCCAACAUGGUGAAACCCUCUCUCUACUAAAAAUACAGAAAAGUAGCCGAGCGUGGUGGCGGGCACCUGUAAUCCCAGCUACUUGGGAGGCUGAGGCAGGAGAAUCGCUUGAACCCAGGAGGCGGAGGUUGCAGUGAGCCAAGAUCGUGCCCUUGCACUCCAGCCUGGGCAACAGGAGUGAAACUCUGUCUGAAAUAAAUAAACAAACAAACAAACGGACACACACCAGAGAAGGGACAGUGAGGCAACCCAGAGAAUAGAAAGAGCAGACAGCCGCGACCCUCUGCAGGGCUGAGGGCACACAGCACAGGUCAAGUUACCGUCGCCCGGGAUCCAGGGUUUCCUGGUGGAGCUGGAAUCUACAGAUCAGUGCCGUGGCCACAGAGAAACAACUGCUGCUGGAGACAUCAGCAGAGGAAGAAGGCGGAAAAAUACUGUAGCCGCUCCACACCUCCAGCCCAACGCCCCAUGGCAGAACCUCACUAGAGGCCCCAUGGCAGAAGAGCCUCCAGGAACCUCCUUGUGGACCAGAGGAGAGAGAGAGGCGGCAGGAGGCAAGGGCGUGUCUAAGAACAAACGGGCCACGGCCAGCCCCUGGCCUUUCUGAAACUCCUCCCCUGGGUUCUUUUAAAAUUCAAUAUUCUGCUUCUGUUCCUGUGUUGAUGGGCUGAACUGUGUCUCCCCAAAUUCUAAUGUUGAAGUUCUAACCCCCAGUACCUCAGAAUGGGACUGCAUCAGGAGACAGGGACUUUAAAAUAGUCAUUCAGGUAAAAUGAGGUCACCAGGGUGGGCCCUAAUCUGUUAUGACUGGUAUCCUUAUAAGGAGAGGAGACUAGACACAGAUAUGCACAGGGGGACAAUCCUGUGAGGACAAAGGGAGAAGACAGCCAUCUCCAAGCCAAGGAGAGAGGCCCCAGGAGAAACCAACCCUGCCCACACCUUCAUCUUGGACUUCUAGCUUCCAGAACUGGGGAAAUGAAUUUCUGUUGUUGAAGCCCCAGUCUGCAGUACUUAGUUAUAGCAGCCCUUGCGAACCAGCACAUCCGAGUUCUCUGUCUCUGUCUCUAACCCCUCUCAACUGUCAGCCGUAAGUGAGCCUCUGCCCCCAACUUCUGGCCUCCUCUAUGUUCUCUUCCUUGGUGACCCCAUUCUCCCUUGUGGUUCAGUGGUGACCUCUGGCAGUGACGCUCAGUCCUCAUGGCCAGCUCUGGCCCCUCCCAGGCUCUGGCGCCACAAUCAUCACUUCCACUUGUCUCUGCUUGGAUGGUCUGUCAGCAUCUCAAAGGCAACAUGAAUAAAACCAAAUGCAUUUUUUCCUCCCACAAA